CGGGUGAGUAAUGCGUGACCAACCUGCCCCAUGCUCCAGAAUAGCUCUUGGAAACGGGUGGUAAUGCUGGAUGCUCCAACUUGACGCAUGUCUUGUUGGGAAAGUGUUUAGUGGCAUGGGAUGGGGUCGCGUCCUAUCAGCUUGUAGGCGGGGUAAUGGCCCACCUAGGCUUCGACGGGUAGCCGGCCUGAGAGGGCGGACGGCCACAUUGGGACUGAGAUACGGCCCAGACUCCUACGGGAGGCAGCAGCA
rnacentral:rRNA from 1 species